CGUAGGUAAACGAAUUGAUUGCCAUGAUUUGAUUCGAUAUUACUUUAGAUUAUCAAUAGAUUGCAUGUCCAUGACAAAAAAUGUUGUCCAAAUCCGACUUUUAAAAAGUUUUACGAAUCGAUUGUUGUGGUUUGAUAUCCCGUUAGUGUAUGGAUUGAUUCUUUUUAACAGAUGGCAGCACCAAUUACCACACAACCGCAACCCCAGCCUGGGAGCUUGCUUGUCUCAACAGUUCAUGGUCAUCGAAACUGGUCCACUGGUAUUUUUGACUGUUUCACAGAUAUCAAAACAUGUAAGAAAAACGUUAAUGUACAAAGUCUUAUAACAAAUUCGUAUAUGUAUUUUAAAAUAUUUUUUUGAAAGUACAAUGAUAAAUUGAAGAAUUGCAAAAAUAUUUUUUGUCUUGCGGAUAAUUUCAAUAUCAACAAAUGUUUCACUAUGUUUCACUAUUUAAUGACAGCCUUGUAACUGAUGUAUGCUCGAGACCAAAAGUGGCGAAAGCAAGAUACUAUAAUAAUGAUAACAUCUGAAAAGAUAAAAUCAAUACAAUCUUGAUUUUUGUAUAAAUACACUGUACCAUAAGAUAAUGUUUUGUUUUUAUAGUGAUCAAUAUUAUAACUCAAUGUUUACUGCUGAUACAGCAUGUUUUUGACAUUUUGACCUAUUAUGUCAGUUUGUCUUGUUAACACAUUAUUGUUAUCAAUUUAAUAAAAAUGUAUGGACUGUCAUACAAUUGAGAGGUAGUGCUAGCUAGCUACAAAACGAGAUUUACUUUUCUAUUUUCUACAUGAGAAAAUGCUUGUACCAAGUCAGGAUGACAGUUGUUGUCCAUUCGUUUUUUAUGUGUUUUGUCAUUUUAUUUUGCCAUGUGAUUAGGGACUUUCCGAUUUUAUUUUACUCGGAGUUCAGUAUUUUUGCGGUUUUACUUUUUUUCCAUUUGUUUGAUGUGUUUGAACUUUUGAUUUUCCCUUUGAUAAGGGACUUUGCGAUUUGAAUGUUCCUUGGGGUUUUUGUAUUUUUGUACGUGUUUCCAAAAUAUAUUUUGUAUUUUUUCAUUGUUUUGACAUAAUGACUCGACGUUGCUAUAUAAAGAAAGGAUAGUGACACCAUGUUACUAAAAUAGUAACAUAGCCUUAAUAUCAUUUUCAAAAACAGUAACAUAGCGUUAAUAUCAUUUCCAAAAAUAGUAGCAUAGCGUUAAUAUCAUUUCCAAAACUAGUUACAGGCUUAAUGAAAAAUACUUCUUCUAGUGAAAAGUAAAAACACAAAAAUACUGAACUCCGAGGAAAAUUCAAAAAGGAAAAUCAAAAAUCAAAAGGCAAAAUCAAAAGUCCAAGCACAUCAAACGAAUGGAUAACAACUGUCAUAUUCCUGACUUGGUACAGGCAUUUUCUAAUGUAGAAAAUGGUGGAUUGAUUCGGUAUUCAUUCAUCUGUGUUCUUGAUAAAGCGUUAUAUACACAUUUAAUUCAUAUUUUUCUUUCCAUAUUAUAAAUACAACAUUAUGAAACACACAUUUAGUAUGUGAUAGGCAUAACACGUAACGAUACGUAUUAACAUACUUUAAAAUCAUGUUCAACACAGAAAACAAUUGUCCGAAUAUAUACAUAAACCGAAACCGAAACACAAACAUGCAUCGAAGUAAGGAAUUUCUUUUGUCAUGCAAAUAAGCAGAUCUAGGGAAACAUAGAUAUACAGCAGAAUUGUCAGAAUUGUUUUUUUAGGUUGCAGGUAUUAUAUCGUGGUUCCAUUUGCACUGCAUGACAUGUAAUCUAUCUGUCAGAAUUGUUUUAUUAUAUUGCAGGUAUUAUAUCGUGGUUCUGUUUGCCAUGCAUGACAUGUAAUAUAUCAGGCAGAUUUGUUUAUUGUGUUUGAAUGCCAUUUUAUUAUUAUUUUGCAGGUAUUAUAUCGUGGUUCUGUUUGCCAUGCAUGACAUGUAAUCUUUCAGGCAGACAAGGUGAUUGUGCUUGUAUGCCAUUUUGUGUGCCUGGUGGGUCUAUUACCAUGAGAUCUAGAAUCAGAACACUUGGUGGAAUUCAGGUGAGAAUUUGCAGUUGCCUGUCAUGUUUAAUUGUUUAAUUCUGAUAUUUAAUGGGAUAGAAAUUCAUUGGACGAUACAUUCUGGAUUAUUUUCACUUGAAGAACUAUAAAAUCAUGGUUUAAAACAAAGUUAUAUAUAUAUUGAAAUAUUUUAAAGUAUUGUUUAAUUUUUCUUGAUUCUCAUUGGUUUAUUUGGUCACGUGUUUCCAAAAUAUAUUUUGUAUUUUUUCAUUGUUUUGACAUAAUGACUCGACGUUGCUAUAUAAAGAAAGGAUAGUGACACCAUGUUACUAAAAUAGUAACAUAGCCUUAAUAUCAUUUUCAAAAAACAGUAACAUAGCGUUAAUAUCAUUUCCAAAAAUAGUAGCAUAGCGUUAAUAUCAUUUCCAAAACUAGUUACAACGAGUCAAUAUCGUUUAAAAACCCACGCUAUGGUCUACAUGUGCAAUAAAUGUUAGGGGCAGUGCAACAACUCCAAGAUCCUAUCUUUCAAACAAUUUCAAUCUAACUGGACUUGUUUGCUUUGGAUAGCUGUCCAUAUCAAAGAAAAUCCUUCACUAUUAGCCAAAAAGUCGGCAUGUUUCUUUCUGUAAAAAGUUAUCAAAAAUCAUGAACGACUGUACACCAACUGUCAUAUAUCCGACUUGGUACAGGUAACAAACAUAAAAAAGUCAUAUAGACAAAGCAAGUUAGCAAAAUUGAAAGAUAAAAAUGUAAAAAUUAUCACAGAAAAAUGACUGGAUGUAUAAUUACAGAGCCAUGUCUUACUCGAACUGUUUUUGAGGUAUAUUAUUAUCGUAAACUGAUACUACAUCUAAUAUUAAAAAAUGAUAUGUUAUGAUAUUUUUAUCAUAUGAUUCAACGAUUGCCUGUGAAUAAUGUAAAUUUGCAUUUUUUUUUUUGGCAGUGAAUUACUUACUAGUUAUUCCAUCAUUACAAUACUUUUUUUUUUAAUUUCAGGGUACUGUGUGCAAUGACUGUCUCGUGAUGCAGUUUUGUGGUCCAUGUGCAAUUUGUCAGAUGUCUAGAGAACUUGACAAUAUGGGCAUUCCAUAAUCAAGACAGACAAAUUCAAAUGAUAACAUUGAAACAACAUAUAGACAAAAAUCGUAUUUUGAUAACAUUUUAGACUCAUAAGAGCUUAUACUGCUCUUCAAACAUGUUUAUUAUAAAUCUUAUUCAAUCUUUUUGUGAUUGAAGGCAUAUAUAUUUCAUUUUUAAUAUUUUGUUUUGUUUUGACUUUUCUAUUUUCUUGUAUUAUUCGUCAACAUUAAAAAUAUAUUCAUUGGACCGACCUAUUAAAAAGUUUGUAUUUCACAAUUCAUCGAUAGGAACAACUCGAUAAUUUAUAAUGUGUCCCUAAAAAAUUCUUAAGUGCCAUUUAAAAUUUAGCAUGUUCUGUCUGUGACCUACAAUGUGUUACUGAGGUAAAUCAUUCAGUCCGAAAACGCCUCAAUGGACAGGAGAGAUAGAAAGUCGUUUCUUCAAUGGACACAAUACUAAAGUGGUCAUGCCACAAUCUCAAUGACAAGUUUAUGCCACAAUCUCAAUGACAAGUUUUUCAAUAAACAGAGCUCCGAUUAUGCAAUAAUGCUCCAAAAAGACCCCUGCACAGAAUAGAAAGAAGCAGAAUUACCGAUUGAAAUUAUACCUAGUGGUGGGUUCGAGAGAGAAUUUUUAUAGGAACUUGAUGUUCCUUAUCCAUAUGGCAUUCACAUAAAAGAGCUAAUAUCUUAAGAUAACUUUGAUAUUGUUGGAUUUUUUUUUAUCAUGUUUUGGUUGUAUAAUUACAUUUUAAUAUUCAUGGAUGCCUGGAUCCACACAAACAAACAAACAAACACACAAACAAACACACACACACACACAUUUAUUCGAUCAUUUUUUUAUUUUUUUUCUAAGAGGUCAAAGUCUGUAGCAUUAAAAUGCAUUGAUUGAUUGAUGUUUAACCAUUUUCAGCACUAUUGGCUAUUCCAUGGCGGUCAGUUUUUAUUGCAAGAGAAUGCUAGAGUGCCCGACCUUCUUAGGAAACUGACAAUCCUAAUCAAUUAAGUUUAAAGUCGAGCUCACCCACUACGAGCGGAAUUCGAAACUGAAAACCUCAGUCUUGACAUAUUUGGGAUACAAUAAUUUGAAUGUUAACACAACUCAGUCCCUGAAUACAACAUAACCUCCAGUGAAUAUACCUUCCCUUUAUAACGUUAUAUGUAAGAGGGGACAUAAACUUUUUCUCAUGUCCCAAUUUAUGUAUUUUUAUAUUAUUCCUUCCGCUUUGUUCAGAUUGGAAAAGUGAACUGAGGAUGAUGAAAAUGUUCUCAUUUAAGUCUUAUUUAAUGAUGCCCAGUCAACAAGAAGAAUGCUGUUGAUCUUCAAAAAAUCAAUUAAUAGUAUGUAAAGUUUUAAAAGUUUUCAAAUUAUUUUUAUUCUCCUGAUUUUAAUGAGAAGAAGUUUGAACGAUAAUUAUCAGCAAUAAAAGCGAACAAAUCGUCCGAUUAGUCAAUAUAUCGUAUUUACUUUGAUUAUUACGUAUACUGUACUGCUAAAAAUUGUUUUAUUUUGUAAAUUUUUUUUCAACAACUAAUGAUACAUCUUCGGAUAAUUAAGGCCAUGAUGUAUUUUUGACAUAUGUUUUCCAGUUCUUGCUGUCAGAACUUUUCCGCUCCGAGUAUAGAUUCAAUAUAAAUUUUGAAAUCAUGAGCAAAACUACUGGUAGGGCGGACUCUGUAGCUAUCAAGUAUAGAAAGUAAUCAUGCUUGUGACAAAAUAGUCUCUUUGACCUCAUCACAUGUCGGAUUUAUUUGUUUGCAGUAGCUUGCAUCAAACGAGUCUUUAUGUUUGUUGUAGAUUGUAUUCGAGUUUCAUUCCAGUUAUUCUUUAUGACUGGCGUGUCAAUGUUAAGCAAUGGGAUUGGAU
rnacentral:lncRNA from 1 species